rnacentral:lncRNA from 1 species
AUGUUGGUUGAAGGAAGGAAUUGGGUGGAGGCAUGUGACGGGCAUCUUCCAGGAUGUCAAGGGCUGCCCAGGGGGAUGGGGGGAUGGAUGUCCAGGAAAGCUCCCCUUGGCCCAACUGCCCCCCCCAUGGAGGCUCCUCUCACGUCUGGGGUCCUCAGGGGCCCGUGGGGUCCCCUCCAACACUGGCAGCCCGCCUUGACCUCCCUUCCCGCUCAGGAGAUGCCCCAGGAGGGUUCUGUGGCCUCCAGUGUUUCCGGACUCCCCUGUGGGUGGAAUCAGGCCCAGAGGAGUUCCUCACACGUGCUGGAAGUCCUGGCCAGGGGUGCGCGGCAGAGCCGUCCCUUCACUCCAGGGCAGGGGGCGGUCCGAUCUGGCCAUUGCUGCGUGGGCUGGAGGACUCCAGAGGACUCAGGCCAGCCGUCCCAGUCAUGGCCACCGAGGGGCAGAGAGCCGAGACCGGGAAGAGAAGGGAGCGGAGGGGGAUCCCUUUGGGGAGUGGGCUGUGCCCAGCGGUGCCCACCCCCGGGAGUCACCCCCAAGCAGCCCCCAGGGCCAAAGCCCAACCCACAAAGGAGCAGCCGAGAAGGGGGUCACGUGAGCUUUAUUGACAAGCCCCCGAGGGGGCCCGCAGGCCUGGAGGGGGCUCUGGGAGACGGGGGUUGGGGGACGCGGGGUCUGUUGGGAAGCUCCACGAGGCGCCCCCUUUCCCGCUCUGAGGAAUCUCCUGGAGCCCUUGGGGGGGGGCCGGGAGGGGCAGGACAGGAGGGGGGCCACGGGCGGGGGGACGACGGGCCUUCGCUCUGGACGUCGGCCCUCGGCUUCACUUCCAGCGCCCGCCGACCUUGCCCUUUGCGCCCGCCUUCUUGCUGCUGCGAUUGGAGAGGGAGAAACCGAGUCAGCGCUGAGGCUCCGAGGGGCGCAGGCGCGGCAGGGCUGCCGGGGCUCCUUCGGCCUCCUCCAGCCGCCGCCUCCCAUCUCGGCCCCAGGCCUAAGCAGCCGCGACUUACCUGCGCCCAGGCCGGACCUGGUCCGGGCCGGGUUUGUCCCUUGCCAAGCAGGGGAGUCUGGCUUAGGGGGGCUGACAAGCGGGGGGGCCCCAGCUCCUCCCUCGGCUGCUGGCACUCACCAGACUUGGCGGGGAAUUGA